rnacentral:rRNA from 1 species
UAGGGAAUCUUCCGCAAUGGACGCAAGUCUGACGGAGCAACGCCGCGUGAGUGAAGAAGGAUUUCGGUUCGUAAAACUCUGUUGUUAGAGAAGAACAGCGCAUAGAGUAACUGUUAUGCGUGUGACGGUAUCUAACCAGAAAGCCACGGCUAACUACGUGCCAGCAGCCGCGGUAAUACGUAGGUGGCAAGCGAUGUCCGGAUUUAUUGGGCGUAAAGCGAGCGCAGGCGGUUAAUUAAGUCUGAUGUGAAAGCCCCCGGCUCAACCGGGGAGGGUCAUUGGAGACUGGUUGAAUUGAGUGCAGAAGAGGAGAGUGGAAUUCCAUGUGUAGCGGUGAAAUGCGUAGAUAUAUGGAGAAACACCAGUGGCGAAGGCGACUCUCUGGUCUGUAACUGACGCUGAGGUUCGAAAGCGUGGGUAGCAAACAGG